GCGGGCCCGGCGUGCGCCGCCUGGCGCGCCUGCACGCCGCCCGCCACGCGCACCACAACGGUGGCGAGUUGAUGGACGAGAAAGCUACAAGACUGACCGCUCACAUCAAGGCCAUGACAGCCGAAGUGAAAGCUGAUCCUUCGUGGGAAGGCGCGACCCCCGCUGUACUGGAAACAUUGGAGCUGACAGUGGAGCGCGCGGCGUUCUCGCGUCUGUACCUGCAAGUGCUGUUUCCCAAUGGAGACGGCGACAUCGCGAGG